rnacentral:rRNA from 1 species
AGACGUCUACAUUAGAUACCCCCGUAGUCCCAGCCGUAAACUAUGCUCGCUAGGUGUCAGGCAUGGCGCGACCGUGUCUGGUGCCGGAGAGAAGUUGUUAAGUCUGCUACUUGGGGAGUACGUCCGCAAGGAUGAAACUUAAAGGAAUUGGCGGGGGAGCACCGCAACGGGAGGAGCGUGCGGUUUAAUUGGAUUCAACACCGUAAAACUCACCAGGGAAGACUGUUACAUGAAAGCCGAGAUGAAGACUCUGCUAGAUUUUCAG